UGAUACUCAAUUCUGAUAUCAUAAUUUCUUAAUAGCACUAUAUAUGUCAGGCAUUUCAAGUGAAUGACACGUUUUUUAAAAUAAACAUGUUUCGACAUGCUUAUGCCAU